UACGGGGGGGGCAAGCGUUGUUCGGAAUUACUGGGCGUAAAGGGCUCGUAGGUGGCCAACUAAGUCAGACGUGAAAUCCCUCGGCUUAACCGGGGAACUGCGUCUGAUACUGGAUGGCUUGAGUUCGGGAGAGGGAUGCGGAAUUCCAGGUGUAGCGGUGAAAUGCGUAGAUAUCUGGAGGAACACCGGUGGCGAAGGCGGCAUCCUGGACCGGUAUUGACGCUGAGGUGCGAAAGCGUGGGGAGCAAACAGG
rnacentral:rRNA from 1 species